rnacentral:misc_RNA from 1 species
UAUCUAACCUUAUCACCAUAGAAAAGACUGUCUACUGGGGCAUUGAGUCUCUUGACAUUUAACUUGAAAGUUUUGCCUUGUUAUGAAAAGCAAUUAAGCUGAAAUUUCUAGUACCAAGAGUUUUGAGGGAUUUAAGAUGAAGAAGGACAAAAAAAACAUGAGGAAUAGAGGCUGGAGAAGUGGGGUUCUGGGGAAUGAAAGUUGGAAAGGAAGUAAAAA